GGGACUGGGCGACCCUCCGUUCUGUUGCUGCCGGUGAGGCGGGAGAGCGCCGGGGCCGACACGCGCCCCACUGUCAGACCACGGAAUGAUGUGGCCCACAAGCAGCUCUCAGCUUUUGGAGAGUAUGUGGCUGAAAUCUUGCCCAAGUGUCCUGCUUCAAUGAGUUAGAGGUCUGUAUCCAUCCUGAUGGCGUCAUCCCAGUGCUGACUUUCCUCAGGGAUCACACCAAUGCGCAGUUCAAAUCCCUGGUUGACUUGACAGCAGUGGACGUCCCAACUCGGCAGAACCGUUUUGAGGUCAGUUGGGAGAUCUGAGAAGGUUUUGGGGGUAAGGGUAUUAAUUUCAGUUUGUAACAUACAAUAGAACACAGCAGUUAAACUGGAACUUCAGAGUCAAGUAGAUCUCAAGUUGGAUCUUGGUUCU
rnacentral:sRNA from 1 species